rnacentral:rRNA from 1 species
GGAAUUACUGGGCGUAAAGCGCACGCAGGCGGUUUGUUAAGUCAGAUGUGAAAUCCCCGGGCUCAACCUGGGAACUGCAUUUGAAACUGGCAAGCUAGAGUCUCGUAGAGGGGGGUAGAAUUCCAGGUGUAGCGGUGAAAUGCGUAGAGAUCUGGAGGAAUACCGGUGGCGAAGGCGGCCCCCUGGACGAAGACUGACGCUCAGGUGCGAAAGCGUGGGGAGCAAACAGGAUUAGAUACCCUGGUAGUCCACGCUGUAAACGAUGUCGAUUUGGAGGUUGUGCCCUUGAGGCGUGGCUUCCGGAGCUAACGCGUUAAAUCGACCGCCUGGGGAGUACGGCCGCAAGGUUAAAACUCAAAUGAAUUGACGGGGGCCCGCACAAGCGGUGGAGCAUGUGGUUUAAUUCGAUGCAACGCGAAGAACCUUACCUACUCUUGACAUCCAGA